UACGUAGGGUGCAAGCGUUGUCCGGAAUUAUUGGGCGUAAAGAGCUCGUAGGCGGUCUGUCGCGUCGGCUGUGAAAUCCCGGAGCUCAACUCCGGGUCUGCAGUCGAUACGGGCAAACUGGAGUACUGCAGGGGAGACUGGCAAUUCCUGGUGUAGCGGUGAAAUGCGCAGAUAUCAGGAGGAACACCGGUGGCGAAGGCGGGUCUCUGGGCAGUAACUGACGCUGAGGAGCGAAAGCGUGGGGAGCGAACAGG
rnacentral:rRNA from 1 species